CUACGGGAGGCAGCAGUAGGGAAUAUUGGGCAAUGGAUGCAAGUCUGACCCAGCCAUGCCGCGUGCCGGAUGAAGGCCCUCAGGGUUGUAAACGGCUUUUAUUCGGGAAGAAGAGCAGGGAUGCGUCCCUGUGUGACGGUACCGAAUGAAUAAGCACCGGCUAACUCCGUGCCAGCAGCCGCGGUAAUACGGAGGGUGCGAGCGUUGUCCGGAUUUAUUGGGUUUAAAGGGUGCGUAGGUGGCUUUUUAAGUCGGUGGUGAAAUACAGCCGCUCAACGGUUGAGGUGCCAUUGAUACUGAAGAGCUUGAAACAAGUGGAGGCUGCCGGAAUGGAUGGUGUAGCGGUGAAAUGCAUAGAUAUCAUCCAGAACACCGAUUGCGAAGGCAGGUGGCUACGUUUGAUUUGACACUGAGGCACGAAAGCAUGGGGAGCAAACAGGAUUAGAUACCCGGGUAGUCG
rnacentral:rRNA from 1 species